UCUGCCUUGUGCCCAAGCAUUCUAUCUGCCCAUUGUCGCAUUUCUGCGGCUGUUGCAUUUUCUGGGAGGCUGUUGCCCUGGUCCGAUGCGUCUGCAUGACAGGUAUGUUGCCAAUCAUAUUCCAUUGUCCAUGGCACGCCAUAGGUUAGGCUUCCAUACAUAUAUUAAUUGCAAGAGAAUUGGCUAUGUACAGCGGUGCGGGCACCACAGGCAUAUAAAGGAUAAGCAAGCCCUUACCCGGGGUGCCAGAAGUUCCAGGCCUCCCAUCAUCAGCAUCUUUUGAAGCAGAUGUGCUGGAAAUGCUGCGCAGACUCAACAAUCCAUAUGCAUGGUUAUUGCGUGUGCACUGCUGCAGCAGAUCGGCAACCUUGCUCUUUCCAGCAGUGCGUUGGGCAGCAGCUGCACCUUGCCUGAGUAUGAUCGGUAGAGAAUUCAUUUGUGUAGGAUCAAUCAGACCUUCAUAGGUAUGACUUGAACCUGAACUGAUCAACCGUGUAAUUCAGGGCCUUCAUUACAUGUCGUCCAGGACAUGAAUCCGUAACAGCACACUCUCACCGUAAAGCAAGAACCGUGGCCCAGAGAUUACUUGCAUGUCUCAGUUACUAGACCUGAGGUAAUUACACUGCAAUAACACGUCACUGGUGAGUCUUCUGUCUGUGCACAUGUGACUCAGCUGAAGCAGGCCUAGUAACUGACUGUCGGUCCAUGCAUGUCAGUCCAUAUGGUGGCUGGUGGCCACCAUGGCCACCAUUCGUAGCACCCAUCGAAUCACUGAAUAGGUGGCGGCAUGCAAAGAAAUGUGGGCUGCGAGCCAAUUGCUGUCACGUGUGCACA
rnacentral:lncRNA from 1 species